rnacentral:rRNA from 1 species
ACUCCUACGGGAGGCAGCAGUGGGGAAUAUUGCACAAUGGGCGCAAGCCUGAUGCAGCCAUGCCGCGUGUGUGAAGAAGGCCUUCGGGUUGUAAAGCACUUUCAGUGGGGAGGAAAGGUUGAUGGUUGAAUACCUAAUCAGCUGUGACGUUACCCAUCAGAAUGAAGCACCGGCUAAACUCCGUGCCAGCAGCCGCGGUAAUACGGAGGGUGCAAGCGUUAAUCGGAAUUACUGGGCGUAAAGCGUGCGCAGGCGGUCUGUUAAGCGAGAUGUGAAAGCCCCGGGCUCAACCUGGGAACUGCAUUUCGAACUGGCAGACUAGAGUCUUGUAGAGGGGGUAGAAUUCCAGGUGGUAGCGGUGAAAUGCGUAGAGAUCUGGAGGAAUACCGGUGGCGAAGGCGGCCCCCUGGACAAAGACUGACGCUCACGGCAC